CUGCUACCAGGAAAGCAGCUCCCUUCCUUCCCGCCAUGUACUGGUCAUUUGCUCUAUGAGAGGAAUGAGCCAUAUGCUUCUGACUCAUAGAUUGUAUCUCAGAGAAACUUACUCUUGAUUUUAGCUUUCUUGAUGAUCAGUUUCCAUGUGCGAUGUAGGAGAAGUAAGCAGAGAAAUCCAAAAUCCAAGAACCCGGCUCAGCUGGACCAUGGCCACUCUGAGAAUCAGAGCUGGAGGUCAAAGAGUGUAAGUGGUUCCUUCAAAACACAGAUGUACCCGCAAGUUCCUCAUCAAAAUUUCAACUGACAGAAACGCCAAGGCGGCCAUCCAGAGAGUUCAUGCUCACAGUGCAAAAGCCACACUGGCUUUUAUACAGUUUCUCUAAUAUUCCAAUUUCCUGACUCCAGGCCUUUGUAGUUGCUGUUCCCUCUGGCUACAAUGUCCCCAUCCCCUUGUACACCUAGCUCUUUCUUCUCAUUCAGCUCAAAUGUCACAUUCUCAGAAUGGUCUUCCCCAAUCAUUCCAUCUGAUAUUAAACUACUGCUCCCCAAAUCCUUUUUUCAAUGGCCACACUCCAGUUUAUUUUCUUCAAGGUACCCACCAAUAUCCAAAACUAUGUUACCUCCGUAGGUAUUUAGUACCUGUCAUUCCCCACUGGAAUAUAAGUUCUAGGAGAACAGGGACUCUGUGUUUCGAUGCUGGUGCAUGGUAGGCACCCAAUACAUAUUUGUUGAAUGAAUGAAUGUGUAUAGAACCUCAAGAUCUGGGGUUUUUUUGCUAGGAGUAGCACCACCCUUUACAUCAGGCUUGUUUACUCUCAGUAUCUUAUCACUUAAGUGAAUUUUGUUUCAUCAAGGUAAGACAGGCCAUGUGGAACAAGCAAGCUCUUCUUGGGAAUUCAAGAAAUAGGAAAUAGCAAAAGGGGGACACCUGUGCUGGCCCCAACACGUUUCCUGGAUGAGGGUAAUGAGAUGGAAGCUGCCACAGGAGCAAAAGCAAGUAUCCCACCUGAGAUGUAGGGAACACUAAUUACAUCCUUGGUCCAAGGAGGAGAUGCAGUUGAAAUGCCAAGCCAGUGUGUGGAUGAAGGCCAUGCAAGAGUCACAGAAGACAUCAGGGCCCUAAAGCAGUUCAAAGCACUUUCAUAUUUACUGUGAGGUUUUCAAGUUCACGGGGAGUGAAACGAUGCAGUGGCAAAAUUAAUCAAUAAGUGUUGAAGCUGGUGGGACCUCCAGGGCAGAGAAGCUGCUACAAGUCUAAGGCAGAACACGCUCCAACUGAAACAAGAGCUGCCACAGAAAUGCUCCCGUAGCACUGCAGGGUCACAUGGCCCAAGACUGAUGGAGGAGGCAGAGGGCGCCAGAGGAGGAACAAUGGUAGAGCCGACGGGCCAGCCCUCUUAUAAGAUAGCAGCCCAUUGUCUUGGCUAAGAACUUGGACUGCCAACUAGCCUCCCCAAGGUGUUGGCUCCAUUCAAAAGGUUCCCUUGUGGUGGGGAACAGUUUCGUACAGCGUUAUUAGAGAUGAGGUCUGUGGAGCUAGGCUGCCCGGACCUGAAUUUCAAUCAGUCACUUAU
ensembl:lncRNA